rnacentral:rRNA from 1 species
UAGGGAAUCUUCCGCAAUGGACGAAAGUCUGACGGAGCAACGCCGCGUGAGUGAUGAAGGUUUUCGGAUCGUAAAACUCUGUUGUUAGGGAAGAACAAGUACCGGAGUAACUGCCGGUACCUUGACGGUACCUAACCAGAAAGCCACGGCUAACUACGUGCCAGCAGCCGCGGUAAUACGUAGGUGGCAAGCGUUGUCCGGAAUUAUUGGGCGUAAAGCGCGCGCAGGCGGUCCUUUAAGUCUGAUGUGAAAGCCCACGGCUCAACCGUGGAGGGUCAUUGGAAACUGGGGGACUUGAGUACAGAAGAGAAGAGUGGAAUUCCACGUGUAGCGGUGAAAUGCGUAGAGAUGUGGAGGAACACCAGUGGCGAAGGCGACUCUUUGGUCUGUAACUGACGCUGAGGCGCGAAAGCGUGGGGAGCAAACA